rnacentral:lncRNA from 1 species
GGCGACCCAGGGAGACCCAGGGUCCCCUGCUCCCUGGGGAUUCUGGGAAAUGUGGUUUACACGCUCAGCUUGCGUGUUUCUGACCAACUAAGGUAUUCGUCGAUGAGCUGGGAGCCGAAGAAGUCAGUAUUGCCAGUGCUUGGAGUAGCUUCAUCCAUUAAUAUUGAAAAAGGGCCUUGUGAGUGCCUCCUGUCGCCCUCCACCCCCCGCCCGGAGGCCUUGUCCAGCGCUUGGCCCCAGGUCUAGCCCUUCCGCGUGAUGGACAUUGCACCUGAGACCUUGACGGGAACACACGCACAAGCGGGCUCAGCUGAACACAGAGAUAAGCCUCGAGUGUUGUUUGGAGAAAUAUGCUCUGCGGCUUCGAGAAGAUUGAGGACACGCUGCAGAGUCUCGUGGUGCCUCCGCUGGUGCAACCUGCGUCUACCCAUUUACUAGAUCACAGGCAUGGACGGUCAUCCACUGUGGCCCAGGCUGUCUCAGGCUCUCGGGACAGGGCGAGCAAGACGCCACACUCCACUGGAGCAGACAGACACCAACCAGCAUCGUUGCCGACUUCCGGCACCAUUGCUCCACUGUCAUCUCGGCCCGGCCCCCACCCCUGCCCCCACGCCCGGCAGACUCUUCUUCCAGAUCCUUCCUCCCUGGGCCUCGGCAACACGUCCUGAACAUCUCAAGAGAGAGGAAACUUGGGAACUGGGCCAUGUCCCCGCAUGGAGAACCCACAAGGGUCGCCCUAAAGCCUCCUUAUAAACAGCCCUGGAGAGAGCGGGCGCUCAGCUCAGCCUGGCAGUUAAGAUUCCCACAGCACACGUGAGAAGACCUCGGCGCCACUCUUGGCUCCAGCUCCGGCUCGGGCUUCCUGCCAGUGCAGCCCUGGGAGGCAGCACUGACGGCUCAAGGGAUGGGGCUCCUGCCACCCACGUGGAUUGAGUUCCCGGCUCCCAGCUCUGACCCAGCCUAACCCCGGCCAAUCUGCGCACUUGGGGAGAGAAGAAGCAAAUCUUUCUAUCAACCCACCUCUAUUCUCUCUCUGCCUCUCUUAAAUAAAAAUGAAAAAUAAAACUCCUCCCCUAAUCCU